rnacentral:lncRNA from 10 species
AAUCUUAUUCAGACACAGACUUUGGCCAGGUCCCUGUAGAAGUCAUAGGAGAGUUGGGGUUUCAAGACAAAACAAUAAGAACAACAACAAAAAUAAUAAAACCAACAAUCUUCAGUCCUUUUUGCUUAGUGGGGGUGGAAAGGCCACUGUAGAGAACUUCUUUAAUCCAAGGACACCCACACCAAUAAAAGCAGACGGCAAGGGAACCAGGACAAGCAUGGCUGUGAAGGGACUAGAAACAGAUCUGGCAGGUGGAUAUGCAAUCAUUCCUAUGUGAUGAAGCUCCAGUAAAAUCUCUGGACACCAGCACAGGAUGGGAUGUCCUUUUGCAGAGGAAGCCCAGGUUGGACUUGAACUUCUGGGCUCAAGUUGCCCAUGCUGGACUUGAACUCCUGGGCUCAAGUGGUCCUCUGGCCUCAGCCUCCCAUGUAGCUGAGUCUACUGAUGUAUACCAUCACACCUGGCUUUUUCUUUUCAUUGGAAAAUUUAGUCCAUUUACAUUUAAAGUAAUUGUAAUAGUACCCCUUCUAUUACGAGGGAGGAAAAUAAAACUCAGAUUUCAGGAAUCAAUCAAGGUCAUGUAGCAACCUGGUGGUCAGCCAGAGCUAGAAAUUAUCAAAUAUGAUGAUCCAGCCGGUGUGGUGUAUUCUGAUAUGAGGAGAAUUUCUCUUUUGGUCUUGGACAUAUUCCUUAGACUGACAUGUCACUGGGCCAAUAUUUGAGUGAAUCUCCUGUUUCUGGAAUUAUCAAGAAGACUACAGAAAAUUAUAGGAGUGACUCCGAAAUGCUAUGGAAGAGAUUCCUGCAUUGUCAUGCAUAAAGGCAGAUAUGAGACCUGAAACUGGGGCAGCCAUUGCGAGACCCUGAUGACAGCCAGCCCAAUGGCAAUGCAGACACACACAGCAUGGUGGCAUGAGAUCAUGUCCUAAGAAAUGAGAGAAUUUGAUGUCAUCGUGUGCUGCAGUCAGCCAGCCUUGGAACUCACCAUACCUCUGGACUGCUUGAUAGGGUUCCAGUUCACCUUCCAAUCACCAUUAGACGAAGUUACUCAUUUUUCCAAAAGCAGAGAACAAGAUUGCAGAAGACAACUUGACGUUCCAUUUUAGGAACCAAUAACCCUCAUAUUUGGAAAUUUCAUUACUACACUUUCAGAGGGGAGAAGGCUUUAGGAGGGGGUCUGUGUCGUGCCAGCAAAGACUGCCCCUGUGCCAUGACAGCUCCAUCAGGAAGCCUCCUCUCUUCUCAUCUGCUGCUCCCAAUCUUUCUCCUGAGCACCAGAAAUUACCUUGAGAAGAAGCCUGAAAAGGUGCAUGGUGUCCAGAAGCAUCUCCUCCAGCCAUGUGAAGAAGGACAUAUUUGCUUCCCUUGCUGCCAUGAUUGUAAGUUUCCUGAGGCCAGCCAUGCAGAACUGAAGGUAUAAUCACAAAUGUGAAGAAAACAUUGCUGAUAUUCUGGAGGGUUAGCUGACUGGAUCUCUGAAAAUCUCCAGACGGGCUUGUGGGAACUGGAAAUGAAAUCCUUCGAAGAAAAAACAGAGGGUUGGGAAAUGGUAAAAGACCUUUUUGAUCUCAUCCAUCUUGAGGGAUGCGGCCUAAAGCACAUACAGUCCUCCAAAGAAAAAGUAAUGCCGUGUUACAAAACAGGUUUCCUAUUUUGAUGCACCUGGACAUACCGAGGACUAAACUGUCCUUAGAAGGGAUGUGCACAUUCACAUCAAGACACAAGACAACACCAUCAGACUUCUGGAAAUUAUUUAAAACUUAAGUUUUGGUUAUGGAUUACUGUUGGAGCCACAUCUCUGAAGGACAAUAAUAAAUGGAUUCCAGACACAUGGACAGACCCAGAAGACUCCAAAGCAGGGGCAAUAUUGCCUGUUUCUAGCAAACCCAUAAAAAUGAAACAAUUGGGCACCAAUUGUUUUAGAAAAGCCCACUCUCUUCAAAUGUGAGAUGAAAAAUGAGAAGAAAAAGGUGUUAAGAAGGACCUAAUUAAGAAUUUUUAUGUUACGUAUUUGAACAACUUGACUCUGAUGCAACAUCAUGAUGUAGGGAAUGGUUCAGAAGUCAUACUCGUGAAGUAGAAAGAAAAGAAAAACAAACAGAAAGUUGCACCAGAAUUAGUGUGGCACUGGUUUAUUUCCUACCUGAUUGUAAAGGAAAAAUUGAGAUAUGCUAAUUUAUCAUGCAGCCGCAUAACUUCAUAAUGCAAAAUUUAUGAGAAGAGAUGAGAGGAAAUUGGAGAGGAACAUUAUGGGAGCAAUAAAUACUUAUAUAUACUUAUAUAUAAUACUUAUAUAUAAUUGCAAAUAUUAUAAUGCUGUUGCAUAUUAGUUGAGACCAUUUAGGUGAUUAUUUAGGCUAAAAGUAUAUAUAUAUAUAUAUAUAUAUAUAUAUAUUUAAUUAAAAUACUAUUUAACUGAGCCUCUUGUAGGGGUUAAGUACCCUUCUAGGUAUUGGGGAUACAUCAAUUUCCCAUAUAAAGAUUCCUGUAGAAAUCUAUAUAUAUAUAUA